ensembl:lncRNA
CCUUAGGGAGCGCUGCUCCCCGCCCCGGCCCCAGCUUUGCAUAACUUGUCUCCCAGUUGGCUGUCCCUUCCUCGCUGCACUUUGCCCUUGCCCGGUGGUCUGUGGCGUGAGGGAGUAGAACUAUUCAAGGACUGCGUUUUAUUUCUCUAGGGAAAGAGCUGGGUCACAAACGAGGCAAGCUGUCUAAUAAUAUUUAUAUGUAUAUUCCUUUUUUCCUCCGCAGCAGCCCAGUGUGCAAGCAGGAUUCUGUGACAGUACAGAACAAGGCCCUUGGGUGUGAUUUUUUUUUUUUCUUAGCAAACCCUGGAGCAGAGCUGCUGUUAGCAUGUAGAGUUUGAAUGCCACAGGCGGUCUGUUGUUUCUUCCUGCUGAAAGAAUAAUUUAGAGGAGCAGCAAUGGCUCAUUAAUAGAAAGUAUUAGUUGCAGGAAAGCAAAAGCAGGUGAAGUUUCUUACUUUACCACUGACUUACUCUGUGACCUUGGUUCCAUCUUUCUGCACUAGUCAGUCCUCUCAUUGCUUAUGAAUUGGGAAUAGCCGUGCUUUCCAAAAACGUUCUGUGCAUAAACAUACUAAUGACUGUGAAAUGCUUAUCUGCUGUAGUAAUAAAGGGUAGAUAGUGAUGCUAUUUCUAUCACAGAACCAGAAAGGUUCUAGGCAGGAUGUGGACUGUAGUAGCCACACUUGGAUGCUUAAAAGACAUUUAAUAACCUGUGAUAUUGCAUGAUUUGCACUGUGGUCAUCUUAUGUUUCAUAUUUUGAUGUAGUGUGUGCUUUUGAAGAGCUGCUAUUUCACACUGUAAGUACUUUAAGGAUGGCUUUUUUUUCCACUUCUGUUUGGAACAAAGCUGUGUGGUGUCCUCUUCCACUGCUAAGGAAACCCUGUGAAUUUCUAAUGUAGUAGAUUAUCCCUGAUAGUUGACAUCUCUGAACUACAUGGUGUUUUUGAAAGGAAAUACUAAAGGGAGUGACAGUAAGUUCAUCGUACCUGUAAUAAAAGGCAAUGUUAGUUUAAGGAACAGUAUUUUUCUCCUCACCUUAUAGGAUGCUCUCUGUGGAAAAUCGGAAUGCUUCCUGUAUUUCAUAGGUAAAAACCUAAAUACAGGAGUCCUGAAGCUGAAGGACUUGACUGUCAUGGUUCACACUGCCUGAAGUGCAGCCGCUGCAAUAGCAAAUGGAAGCAGCCAAGCACAGAGCUGGGAGUUGCUGCUGCAAAUCCUGACCUUAGUGAAAUAAGUUUUCUCUCUUUACAGUUUUGCUUAAUACUGACUUGUGCAACUAGAUUACUCAUCUUUUUUUUCUAUUUUUUUAAAUAUAUAUUGUAUAAGGAUACACCAGGAAGAAGCAAUGUUUACCUCAUACAUUGGGGAUUUUUUGAAAGUAAUUCAAUAUAUAGUGUCUCACUUAGCUACUCAAUUUAAUAUGAAACUUCCAUAAUCAGAUUAACGUUAAAUAGGAAAGCUUUUGUGUUGAAGAGGAGGUAAGCACAACCUGGUUUGGUUUGGUUUGGGUUUUGUGUUUUUUCUUUUAAAGAACUUGAAAGCUGCUCUGGUAGAAUAGCAAUUCAUUGUUAAUUCUUAAUAUGUAGGUGCCCUGAAAAAAUCAAAUACCUGGUUUCAUAGCUACCCUUAGGCAUCUUUAAUUUAUGCAAGCAGGGCUCUCUGAGUAGCUACUGUAAGUCUCAUUGACCUUAGUAGGUUUGCAGAGGUCAUGUUUUAAAAUGGGUAAGUUGUGCUUGAACUAUUUUCUCAGUAAGUUUUAGGAGCAAGUGUUGUUUACACAAUUACAUGCUUUUUCCAGUUCUCCAUUACAUUUUCUGUUUUUCUUUAGAUUCUUGCUCAUCCUAAAGAAAACUCUCAUUAGGAAGAAGCACAGGUUUUUGAAAACAAGUUCCUUUUCGAGAUCUGGCUAUAGCAGAGCAGACAGUGAGGUUUUACAAACAGCCAGAAAGGCCGGUGUUGGGUUCAGAGAAACUUGGCCAGCACAAGCCGAAUGUACACGAGUGACAUCAGCAUUUUCUGAGCCAUUUAUGCUGUUCACUUGUGCUGGUUCCCAGCAGUGCCUUGUGUCUUAUGUAAGCUCACACUGUACAUCCUGUCCUGCUGUUCUCAUGCAUGAUAAUUCACUGGCGUUAUCUUACAGGAGGGGAGAGCUGCUGCUUGUCUCAAAUGUCUCCAUGCAAGUUUCCUAUGAGCCAGGAGCAUAACCGUGUCCUAGGAGACAUCUGAGGAAUAACUUGGAGUGAGACACAGCUUGUCCCCUGCUCCUUUUGGUAAUAGAGCUGUAACCACUGUGAAGUCAUCUGACAGAGGUUUUACUGGACUGAAGCCUUGAUCUGUAUCAUAUGUAGAUGGGCCACUAAUGCAGUUUUGAUGGCUGGUGAUAAAACAGCCAUAAAACCCAAAGGACUUCAGUGUCAACAGAAGCCUCGAUAAUAUUAAGACUGGAAAAUAAAGGCUUUUAUUACACUGUCACUGCACACUUCUUGUUACAAGGUCUUUGGGAAGAAUUGUGUCUUCAGAUGCUGAUCCUUCAAACUUGUCCUUGCAGUUAGCAUUUAAUCGUGUGUAAUGAAAGUAUUGCCACUUGAUGGGUGAAAUUGAAACAAACCCUCCAUUAUAAGCACUAUACCCAGACAUUUCUUCUGUUUUUCUUGCUUGCUAAAUCUAGCUGAAACUUGCUGGCAUAAAAUUCUGCAGUAAAGCAACGUGCAUAAUCUAUUUCUAAGUAAACAGAGCACCUUCUUUGAACAGUGUCUAAUGUUUCAUACUUCAGUUUCUUUUGUUAGUGCUGUAGCAGUGUGAGGGAGCCAAAUUCCUGGUUACCUGUCUUGGUGAAUGUGCUUGUCCUUGUCUGACUCCAUGGCUUGUUUGGAACAGCUGCAAAGUUUCCUUAUGAGCACUGAUCUGGCACAGCCGUGUACAAGACUCUUGAGAUUUAUAGCUCUGUAGGGGAACCACCUACAGAGGGAAGAAGGGUUGACCUGGAGAAGUGCACUUGGGAAGGAAUGCUGAUGUUCUCUGUGGAAGUAACAGAAAUCUUUUCCUGUGACUUUCCAGAGUGACUUGCCCCAUACUGCACAAACAGUUUCUCGUUGUAGGGGAGAAACAAGAGGAAUGCAAGACUUGACAAGGGGACUGGUUAUCUAAAAAGGAACAGGUGCAGUCCUCAGACACUGGAAAGCUGAACAGAUUCCUUUAAGUAAGCUGUUCUUGCAGGUUUAAGGACAUUUAUUGGCAAAACAUCUAAGAGAAAUUUGAAAUUAUAUUUUGAGAAGGAAAUUGAGUUACCAGUAUUACUUUAAUUGACCAAAGAUAGGGAUGCAUGGACUUUUCCUAGUGUUUUUUUUUUAAUUUAUGUAGGAUAUGCAAAUAUGUUUUAAAACCAUAUAUAGGAGAAUAGAUGGCAAUGAGGAUGUAUUUUAGAGAUUUAUAGCAUCUGUAAGAACAAAUAUUGUUAAAAAAAAAAAAAACGAAAAAACAACAAAAAAG